rnacentral:rRNA from 1 species
UGGGGAGCGAACAGGAUUAGAUACCCUGGUAGUCCACGCCGUAAACGUUGGGCGCUAGGUGUGGGGCUCAUUCCACGAGUUCCGUGCCGCAGCUAACGCAUUAAGCGCCCCGCCUGGGGAGUACGGCCGCAAGGCUAAAACUCAAAGGAAUUGACGGGGGCCCGCACAAGCGGCGGAGCAUGUUGCUUAAUUCGAUGCAACGCGAAGAACCUUACCUAGGCUUGACAUGCGCGGAAAUCCUCCAGAGAUGGUGGGUCCGUAAGGGCCGUGCACAGGUGGUGCAUGGUUGUCGUCAGCUCGUGUCGUGAGAUGUUGGGUUAAGUCCCGCAACGAGCGCAACCCUCGUUCUAUGUUGCCAGCACGUCAUGGUGGGGACUCAUAGGAGACUGCCGGGGUCAACUCGGAGGAAGGUGGGGAUGACGUCAAAUCAUCAUGCCCCUUAUGUCUAGGGCUGCAAACAUGCUACAAUGGCCGGUACAAAGGGCUGCGAUACCGCGAGGUGGAGCGAAUCCCAAAAAGCCGGUCUCAGUUCGGAUUGGGGUCUGCAACUCGACCCCAUGAAGUUGGAGUCGCUAGUAAUCGCAGAUCAGCAACGCUGCGGUGAAACGUUCCCGGGCUUGCACACACCGCCCGUCA